rnacentral:rRNA from 1 species
GUCCACGCCGUAAACGAUGGGUACUAGGCGUCGGGGGGAGCGACCCUCUCGGUGCCGUCGCUAACGCAAUAAGUACCCCGCCUGGGGAGUACGGCCGCAAGGCUGAAACUCAAAGGAAUUGACGGGGGCCCGCACAAGCGGUGGAGCAUGUGGUUCAAUUCGAAGCAACGCGAAGAACCUUACCUGGGCUUGACAUGCACGGGAAAGCCGGUGGAAACAUCGGCCCCCUCUUCGGAGUCCGUGCACAGGUGCUGCAUGGCUGUCGU